GCGAAAAUAACUCAAAAUGGUAGAGUGUAACCUUGCCAAGGUUAAGGUUGAGGGUUCGAGUCCCUUUUUUCGCU
rnacentral:tRNA from 1 species